AGGAUUUUAGUUUAAAAGAAAACAUUUGAUUUGCAAUCAAAAAAUAUUGAAACCAAUUUAUCUUA
rnacentral:tRNA from 1 species